rnacentral:tRNA from 1 species
UCCCUGGUGGCUCAAAUGGUAAAGAAUCUGCUUACAAUGCAGGAGACUCGGGUUCAACCCCUGGAUAGGGAA